rnacentral:misc_RNA from 1 species
GCAAAGGCUGUGUACACGUUUGACAGAUCACAUCAUUGAUCAUAAAGUUUAAUAUCAUAAAGUCCUUUUAAGUUGCAUUGCAGAUAUGGGUGGUAUAUGGAGCUAUUUCUCUGGAUUAUUUGGAUCAAGAGAAAGACGAAUCUUGAUAUUGGGACUUGAUGGAGCAGGAAAAACAACAAUCCUAUACAAAUUACAAGUUGGAGAGGUUGUUACAACAAUUCCAACAAUUGGGUUCAAUGUGGAAACUGUGCAGUACAAGAACCUGAAGUUUCAGGUUUGGGAUUUAGGAGGACAAACCAGUAUUAGACCUUACUGGCGGUGUUAUUACUCAAAUACAGAUGCAAUCAUCUAUGUAGUAGAUAGUAUGGAUAGGGAGAGAAUGGGAAUUUCCAAACAGGAAUUGUUCUCAAUGUUAGAGGUAGGUUUCAGAAGGUACUAACAAAUCAUUAAUUUAAUGGUCUAAUUAUACAGAAAUCUAAAACAUGAUUUUUUGAUUGGUGUGGCCUGCAGUGCGAGCUUCUUUUGACACUACCGUAACGCACUGGAAGUGGUCAAAACUUGCAUCUAUCAAAUCUAUCAAAUUCUUUGAUGGCUUUUAUAACUGUUUUCCCUGUAAUCAGAAACCUCUAAAGAUAAAUUUGUAUUAUUCAUUUUAAUCAAAUACUUUUUUUUUUUCAGGAGGAUGAGCUGAAGAAGGCUGUGUUAGUGAUAUUUGCCAAUAAACAAGACAUUGAGGGGGCUAUGACUCCCAGUGAAGUGGCCAAUGCUCUCGGUCUUACAUCCAUCACCACACAUAAGUACCAGAUCUUCAAAACAUCAGCUAUCAAAGGCACUGGACUAGAGGAGGCAAUGGAAUGGCUUGCCAACACUUUGACACAGCAAAAGUAGGAAAUCUUUGAGGAAGAAGUUAAUUUUAGAAAAAGACUGUCAUAAUCUCUUGCUAUGAUGAACAACUUUCAUUGGACACAACAAACACAAGAGAGCCGAGUUCAUUCCUCAGACUUUACUUUUUCUUUGUGUACUGUAUAUUGAUGACAUGUUAAAGUGCAGCUUUGGUAAUGUUGUGACCUUAUGUGAGAAAUCGGAGUAGAUCUGACAGUGACAGACCAUCUUAUUACUUAUGUAUUUUGGGGACUUCUGCAUCACAGGAGUAAGCAAUACAAACUGUGUAUGGCUGAGAUGGGCGUACACUUAAAUCCAUUCCCAGAGUCUGAAGGAUGAGGGGACUUACGUUACUGGUCAUCACAUUAUGAACUGCAUUAUAUCACAUCUUGUUCAUAUUUAUUAGCAUGAGUGAAGUGUGAAUGGAAUAUACAUGUAUGUAGUAUGUAUAUGUUGAAUUAAAAUGCUUAUGAAUUACUGAAA